AGGCAAUGCCGUACACAAAUGCCCUCUGGACUAGCCGUUAUCCUAAGCUAGCUCGCAUAGACAGCGACGAACCCAACUUACCCAAAGGAAACGAAAUUUACCAGAACGUCUUCUAUGGAGGAUCGUCGUCUGUAUUUGUGCCUUUAACAGGUUAUGACAGAACUGACUGGUAUAACGUGCAUGGUAACUACCUGUAUGCUAAACCUACUGAUUUUAACCACCAACGAUCUGGAGAUUACCGAGUGGUAUGCCAAGCUGCUCAAUGGGCAACCGCACAAGGAAUCUCUCAACCACCAACUCUAAACGAAAUCGGUCCACAUCUGUCUGUUGGUCCAUCCUUUAAA